GAUUUUCAUGUAAACCUAGGACAUGUUCAGAGACUUGGAAGUUAGUGAUUCUAGCCCCUGCCUUAGGCAUGCCCGUGUGGUUGUUUCUGCUUUGGAUUGGCUGGUGGUAGCAGCUGCUGGCAUCACGCAAUUGGCUUGGCUGCAGAGUGAGCCCGCGGAAGAGGGCUCUCCGCACCCACUCUGUGACUCAGGCUUCUACUACCAGGCUCAUCCGAGGACGGAGGCUGUCGUUAUACAACGCGCAAGUGUGGUCUCUGUCACAGAUGUGGCUGUCGCAGAGAGUGCUGCCUCCUCUCCCGUUUCCAGCAGAUGCUUGGGAACCUUCAGAAGUCUUGGGGAUUUUCUCCCAGCACCGUAGCCAUGCCACCACGAGUGAACCCUUAACGUGGACCAGCACGGGCACCUCAGAUGCCAGGACCGGCGUGAUGUAUGCGCCAUAAGACUGUUUUGGAGGGUUUAGUCAGCUGGUCACCCAGGAAAGGAAAAUGACUCGGCUCUUACUGUGGAAUAGCAAAUGACUGAGCUCGGGAGAGAUGGUUCUGCCUCAAUCUGUGACUCGAGGUGCCUGCAGGACGCUGGCAUCGGAUUCAUCCUGGUGAUAGACCGGCGACGGGAC
rnacentral:sRNA from 1 species